UAUGCAUAUAUAUGUAUACAUAUACAUAUACACAUAUAUUAUAUUUUUACGUGUUUGUGUAUCAGUGAGAACAUUAAGUGGGAGGGCUGAGCCUCUGCCAUCCAUAUCCUGGAUGCUAACUGAAGGUAUUUCCCCUUUUGUUUGGUGGCGGCCAGGUAUUUGUAUAUUCUAGAGGAUUUGCCCUAGAACCUGACUCAUUUCUGUAGAAACACUCACUCAAGGCUGCUCUAUUAUCCCCCACAUUACUCCCAGAUUCAAUGAGCUAGGUUCGACACCAAGAUUUUAGGUUGACAGGCACAUUGAAUAGCUAUUAUAAGGGCUAAAGACAUCCCAGAGAGUUAAGCCCUGAAUGUGCAGCAUUUGUAAUUCUCACAAUUAUGGGCAUUCUGGUGAGGAAAUCACACUCAGGCAGGAUUCAUUCAAAGAUGCAGCAUCUUUCCUGGGACGGAACUAUCUCCUGAGUGUUUCAGUGCUGCCCUACAGAGGGAACUGCUUACACUCCCAGAAGCACUUACUUCCACCACCAAGGCCCUGACUGCCCAGGGGACACUGCAUUGCAAGCAGUAACCUUUAUUGAACUGGCUACUUAGACCAAUGUGGACUGUCCCAGGGCAUCAAGUUCACUGAAGCAUAAUUUAGAGAAGUUGUCACACUUUUAACACAAGCUUCAUCAACUUCAGAUGAAAUUUAGCUACUUAAUCAAACACUGGCCAAGAUCUAGAAACUUCCAUGACUUCUCUUCUCUCCUAAAAUGUCUCAUCUCCCCAAAUCUCCCCUCCCCCACUGAUUCCCAUUUGAACUCCUUACAUGUUCCCUUCCAGAGGGCCCCUGUUUACCACCUUGAAUUCUGCUCUGUGGACAUCUUCUACCUUACUGUCCCAGCCUCUCCUUUAAGGGUGUGAAUUUUAAUAUUGACUUUUGUAAGUUAACCAGGCUGAAUUGCUGACACUACAGUGGCACACAAGUAGUAGUUUCUGGUGAUGUAGUCCUCUAGGGAAUGUGUAUCUUAGUACCCUUGCUCUGUAGAAAGUGUGAUAAAUUUCUGUCUCAGUCAGGGUUCCUAUUGCCGUGAUAAAAACAUAAUGACGAAUAGAAACCUGGGGAGGAAAGGGUUAACUUUGCUUGUCCUUCCACAUCACUGUUCAUCACAUGGGAAGUCAGGACAGGAACCCGUGUAGUGCAGGAACCUCAUGGUGAAGCUGAUGUAGAGGCUGUGGACCAGUGCUGCUUACUGGCUUGCUCUUUCCCUGUAGACCCACAGUAGAAUGAGCACUGAUAAUCAUUCAAGAGGAUCAAUAUUAGGCUGUCUUGAAAUCUCCUCUUCCAGGGAUAUUAGUUCAAAACUUUCCAGGUUUGGCCUUAGGAAUAUUCUUAGACAAGGGGGAAAGUGCUUACCCCCUUUGCCACAAUAUCACAAGAAUGGUCUCUACCCAGCUCCUAAUUUCAUUCUUCUUUGAAAUCUCUUGAACUGUGUCUCCAUCAUCUUCAUUGCUCUCAGCACUUCUGUCUUCCAAACUCCUAUUGCAAUGGCCCCUUACCCUGCUUAAAGCAUUCAAGAGGUUUCCUAAGCUAACAUCUCAAAGUCUUCCACAUUCCUCCCAAGACAGCCCCUUCAGGACUGUCAAAACUAUUCCUACACUUACUUUGUGAAUCAACUUUUCUUAUUUUUUUUAAUGUGCAUGUAUGUGCAUUUUCACAGAGAUCAGAGAGAUGUCAGUUCCAUGAAGCUGGAGUUUGAGGCAGUUUUGAGCAGCCUGAAGUGGGUGCUGGUAAUUGACAUCACAUCGUGUGCAAGAGGAACCCUAAUAUGUGCUUUUAGCCACUGAGCCCUUCAGUCCAUUUUUUUUUUUCUGAUUCUUGUACCUGUUUUCUACAAAAAUGGUUUUCCUUGGGGGCUGGAGAGAGAGAAAGUGUGUAAGAAGACUUGCUCAUCUGGGGGCUCUGAGCUGAGUUCUCAGCACCUGUUGUUGGCAUUUCCUCUGGGCUCUGCCCCACAGUCACCUGGUGUGCCUGACUCACUGUAGAAGGGGCUGCUUGGCACCUCCUCUCCCUCUCUUGCUGUCCUGCUCUUGCUCCCUUACCCUCUUCCCCCUCACUCCUCAUUCCCCUCCCACUUCUCUCUCCAUUUGCUUCUGGACAGCCUCUACUCCCCCCACCCCCUCACCCACUAUCCCCCACUCUCUGCUUUUCUCUCAAGUCCCCUCCCCAUGCCCUGAAUAAACUCUGUUCUAUACUAUACCAUCCUGUGGCUGGACCCUCAGGGGGAAGGAAUGCCUUAGCAUGGGACAGCAGAGGCAUCCCCUUCCCCCAAACCUGACUACCAAUCCACCAAACAUAUUCCUCCCCUCUUUAUCGUUUUAUAAAACACCUGUGGUAGGCAUCUCAAAACAGCCUGGAACUUGUGCCUCAGGGAUCUAACAUCCAUGUUUGUCCCCUUCAGACACUGGCACACAUGUAGUCAUACACACUUGUACUUGGAUGGAAAAAUGUUAAAGCUGAAGUAUUUUUCUGUGUCAUCCAUACAUUGUACAUACAUGGUACAAUCUUAUUUUCCAGUUACCAUUGUUUGGUUGGUUGCGGUUAUUGUUUUGUAUGAUUUUUAGGCAGUGCUUUGCAAUGUAGCCCAGGCUAUCUUGGGAAUUGAGAUCAUCCUAUGUUAGCCUUAUGUAUACUGAAAUGUUCAGUGUGAGUCCCAAUGCCCAGGUUGGGUUAUUUUGGUUGUUGUUGUUGCUGUUGUUGUUGUUGUUGCUGCUGUUGUUGUUUUAACCGAGAAAACUUUAUAAUAAGGUUACAAACAGUCAAAGAUUUUACUCUUAUUAUUUUGGCUCCUAAUUAGAAAGAAGGAAAGAAAGAAAGGAAGGAAGAAAGAAAGAAAGAAAGAAAGAAAGAAAGAAAGAAAGAAAGAAAGAAAGAAAGAUCUGUUCCUGCUAGCUAUCAGGCUGAGGCUGACUGGGAAAGCCUGAAGACUGAAACUAUCAGGCCACAACACCAUUCAAAGAGCCACCUCAAGCAAGACAGCCACACCAACAAACCAUCUUUAUUUUUUUCAUUAUUCUCUGACAUCAGUGAGGGUUUUGAAGUACCCUCAUUCUCUGAAGUACAAAGAACCAGUGCAUCUUGGUACUUUUUCUCCUGGGUAAUUCUUAUAAGCUUUGAGUUAAACUGGUAGAGAUGUCAUCUCCUAAAUUCAAAUAUCACUUCUCAUAA